AUCGAGAAAAAGAAAGACUCAUCGGAAGAAGACCGACUGUUUCCUUCUCUUAAUGAAACGGACUAUUUUGAUAACACGGGCUUAAUGCACCCACAACCGAGAAAAGAGAAGCCAUUAAGGCUACCACCUAUUUCAUUACCAAGGAUAUACGAGCUCAAACCUUUACCGAUUUUACCGACAGACUAUAACUCUUUGGCCUCACCAGCAAAACCGAUCACCGAUGAAGAUUGGGAGGACCUUAAGGAGUGCCGAUAUCUCAGACCUUCUCCUCGGAAGUACAGAAACUCCGGUGACCAGAGGAUGCCUUGAUGAUGUACCUUAAAGACGAUAUUUUAUUUCAAAUCAAAAAAACUCUCAGAAAGGUGCUGUUGGACAAUUGGACAAUACUGUUCGAGACAAAUGGAGCAUUCUCCCGAAGGCUAUUUUUUCUACUGUUUUAUAGUAGAAAAUUAUCGGGGUUUUUAAUGUUGAAAAUCUAUGGAACAGUUAACAAUGACGAGCUGAAUAUGUAACCGGCCAAUGUAUUGUGAAAGUAAUUUACGACAGGGACGACUUUACGAGGCUGUUGUUAAGACUUGAGUUAAGUGGUCUAAAGUGAAAUUGGAAUUCACAAAAUCUUAUCUGAAGAUGAUAAAUGCCAAUUUUUGAGUGUUGUUUCGAAGGAAUUAAAUCCCAAACAUGAAAUAGUAUGUCAUGGUAAAAUGUUUUAAAAUGGAUGUUAGGUUUUGGUAUUAAUGAAAACAAAUCCAUCAUUUUUCAUUCUACCAUAGGAGGUGACACGCACUCUUUAUAAAUGUUCCAUUGUUUGUAUUAAAGUUAUGGAUUGUU
rnacentral:misc_RNA from 1 species